GGGCUAGUCAUGGUUUCGACAGGGGUCAUGCAGCGGAAGAAGCGAGUCCCACGGCGAUGGGUUAAAUGGCCAAACUUAAAAUUAAACGCUAACGAUAAUUUAGCAUACGCUGCCUAGUUGCGGCAGUCUGACCUAGAGCACCUACACUUUAGGAUCCAGACUUCGACUCUGUAGGAAACGACGUUAUCAAAGCUUUGCGAUGACGGGCGUAUUAUGAAGCUACUAAAGCAUAAAACCUGUUUGUGGGUGUUAUGUGGAGGGAAUGUAAAAAUACAAACUACACUCGUAGAAGGGCCGGGAAUUGGCUUUUGGACACGGGUUCGACUCCCGUCUAGUCCACUA
rfam:Butyrivibrio fibrisolvens 16/4 draft genome.